rnacentral:rRNA from 1 species
AUUGAACGCUGGCGGCAGGCCUAACACAUGCAAGUCGCACGAGUGGCGGACGGGUGAGUAAUGUCUGGGAAACUGCCUGAUGGAGGGGGAUAACUACUGGAAAAGGUAGCUAAUACCGCAUACCAUCAGAUGUGCCCAGAUGGGAUUAGCUAGUAGGUGAGGUAACGGCUCACCUAGGCGACGAUCCCUAGCUGGUCUGAGCGGAUGACCAGCCACACGGGAACUGAGACACGGUCCAGACUCCUACGGGAGGCAGCAGUGGUGAAUAUGGCACAAGGGGCGUAAGCAUGAUGCAGCCAGGCCGUGUGUAUGAAGAAGGCCGUCGGGUGGUAAAGUACUUUCAGCGGGGAGGCGUUACCCGCAGAAGAAGCACCGGCUAACUCCGUGCCAGCAGCCGCGGUAAUGC